rnacentral:ncRNA from 1 species
CAAAGGUUUGGUCCCAGCCUUUCUAUUGGCCCUUAGUAGGAUUACACAUGCAAGUAUCAGCACUCCGGUGAAAAUGCCCUUUAAAUCAAUCAUGACAAAAAGGAGCGGGUAUCAAGCACACUGACCAAAUACAGUAGCUUACGACACCUUGCCUAGCCACACCCCCACGGGAUACAGCAGUGAUAAAAAUUAAGCCAUGAACGAAAGUUUGACUCAGCCAUACUAAUCCAAGGGUUGGUAAAUCUCGUGCCAGCCACCGCGGUCAUACGAUUAACCCAAGUCAAUAGACAUACGGCGUAAAGCGUGUUAAAGAGACCACCACACAAUAAAGUUAAAUCUAGGCUACGCUGUAGAACGCCCUAGCCAAGACAAAAAUAAACCACGAAAGUGACUUUAAAAAAUCAAAUUACACGAUAGCUAAGACACAAACUGGGAUUAGAUACCCCACUAUGCUUAGCCUUAAACCUAAGUAGUAAACAUAACAAUACUACUCGCCAGAGAACUACUAGCAACAGCCUAAAACUCAAAGGACUUGGCGGUGCUUUACAUCCAUCUAGAGGAGCCUGUUCUAUAAUCGAUAAACCCCGAUAAACCUCACCAACCCUUGCUAAUCCAGCCUAUAUACCGCCAUCUUCAGCAAACCCUAAAAAGGAACCAUAGUAAGCAAAACCAUGGAACAUAAAAACGUUAGGUCAAGGUGUAGCCCAUGGGUUGGGAAGAAAUGGGCUACAUUUUCUAGCAAUAGAACAUCAUACGAAAAUUUUCGUGAAACCGAAAAUGGAAGGAGGAUUUAGUAGUAAAUUAAGAAUAGAGAGCUUAAUUGAAUAAGGCCAUGAAGCACGCACACACCGCCCGUCACCCUCCUCAAGUAUCAAGAUGCACUCAACCAACUCUAUUGACAGCUGCACAAACAUAUUAGAGGAGACAAGUCGUAACAAGGUAAGCGUACUGGAAAGUGCGCUUGGACAAAU